rnacentral:rRNA from 1 species
UAUCCGACCUCAGAUUGCAGAGAUACCCGCUGAAAUA